rnacentral:misc_RNA from 1 species
AAGUCGUAACAAGGUUUCCGUAGGUGAACCUGCGGAAGGAUCAUUGACAAAUCUAAAACAUAUUGUUGCUUGAGAGAGGGUUCGCGCUCUCCCUUCAAGUAUACAAACAUCCUAACCUGUGAAUUGGCAGUACGCAAGUACUGUUUUAUUGGCAGAGGAGUGAUGGCGCAUCGUGUGACUAGCUUACGCCUUGUCCUUCCUCCUAAGCCUUUAAACAUUUACGUAAACAAUUGUCUUAACAAAAAAAACAAAAGUACAACUUUUAGCAAUGGAUCUCUUGGCUUCU